rnacentral:rRNA from 1 species
UACGUAGGGUGCGAGCGUUGUCCGGAAUUACUGGGCGUAAAGGGCUCGUAGGUGGCCAACUAAGUCAGACGUGAAAUCCCUCGGCUUAACCGGGGAACUGCGUCUGAUACUGGAUGGCUUGAGUUUGGGAGAGGGAUGCGGAAUUCCAGGUGUAGCGGUGAAAUGCGUAGAUAUCUGGAGGAACACCGGUGGCGAAGGCGGCAUCCUGGACCGGUAUUGACGCUGAGGCGCGAAAGCUAGGGGAGCAAACGGG